UACGUAGGGUGCAAGCGUUAUCCGGAAUUAUUGGGCGUAAAGAGCUCGUAGGCGGUUUGUCGCGUCUGCUGUGAAAACUGGAGGCUCAACCUCCAGCCUGCAGUGGGUACGGGCAAACUAGAGUGCGGUAGGGGAGAUUGGAAUUCCUGGUGUAGCGGUGGAAUGCGUAGAUAUCGGGAGGAACACCAGUGGCGAAGGCGGUUGCCUGGAGCUUUGCUGACGCUGAUGCGCGAAAGCGUGGGGAGCGAUCCGG
rnacentral:rRNA from 1 species